CCUCCAGAGCCUUCAGCAGCUGCGCGUUCUCCACGUAGAGAUCCUUGACCAUGGCAUCUGCCUUGGUGUUCUUGGAAAGCUGCGUUGGGAAUGGGACACAGGCACUCAGCAAAUGGCAAAUAAAAACGCCAAAGGAAGGCAGCCAUUUGAGGAGAUAAAGUUUGAGAAAGCACCAACCCAAAAUAAAACACCUUCAAACCCAAACCCAUCCCACCUGUGGAGGAGGAUAAAUGAAAAUCUGCUUCAGGGUUCCUGUCAAGUUGUAAAGCACACGAGUAACUAAUGAGGAAACAGACAAUUAGUGUUAACAGCAUCUUAAAAAUAAUUACUAAUGAAACAACAAGGAAAACAAUAUAGCCCUGCUGUAUUCAUCUGUGGAAGAAAAUGGAACAACCAUGAGCUUGCUAAACUAUGAGGAUGAUGCCAAGUGGGAUCAGAAAUUAAUUAAUUUAAGGAAACAUUGGGCAGUCUGGUGGAAAAGCAUGCAGG